CAUUUCAUUCUCACCGAACCAGCUCACUGAAAAAACGCAUGGUGAGAAAUAGAUUCUCAUUAAAACAGUGAAAAAACAAUAAUUCGCACAUUACAAUUUAAAAGUGUUGUUUUACUCAAAUAAGUUUAAUCAAAUGAUAGAGUAAUUAAUAAAGGGAAACUAGACAAAUUUGAGAGAAGGAUAGAAUAGAAGAAUAGCCAAUAUGAAAUUAAACUAGCCUCCAUCCCAAACCCGACCCUCCAAUAAUUACCCAGAUGAUCCAUGAAAUUUGAUUAAGCACAACAAUAAAAUGAUUUCAACUCUAGUAGGGAGAUACUAUCAUUUGUUAUUUGUCUUAUAAAAAAAAAAACUACCAUUUUUAUCUAACCCAUAAGCUAAAAUCCACAAACAAAUGCAGAAGAUUUCUUCUUUCCCCAAAAACCAAAUUCUUAUAUUUGAAAAAUGAUACAAGGAAAGGCAAAGAAAAAAAAAUCACAGCUAGAAUACAUAAAGAUCACAUUUUUAUCACACCAAAAAACUAAAAUCCACAAACAAAUGCAGGAAACUUUUUAUUCUCCCAAAACCCAGUUCUUAUAUUUCAACAAUGGAAGAAAAAACAACAAUUCCUGGUUCAAUUUGGCAACUUGUUAAUAUCUUUUUUUUUGGGUCAGGUUUAGGAUGAGUUUUAAUUGGCAACGUGGACCUUUAAUUGGAGGCCACGUGUAAAAACUUGUAUUGUAAAAGGGCAAUUUGCAAUUUUGCACGAUUGCUCUUAUUCGGGU